GAUUCAGGGCCAGCAGCUGCAGCUUCCCUUUCCCUGCCUCUGACUUGCCAGAAUCCUGUUACACCUGGGAUUUAGGCACUUUCAAUCUGAAAAAAUACAUAUCCUUUCAGCACUCUGGACGGACUUGAGAACUGUCCUUACGUGACCUAAAGCUGGAGUAUUUUGAGAUUGGAGAAUUAAGGCCUUCAGUGGGUUGAAUGAGGCCCAACCCACAUUGAAGAGGACCAUCU
rnacentral:lncRNA from 1 species